AAUUAAAUCAAACCUUUGUUGUUUUAUAUAACAAAAGUUUGGAAUGUGGAGGUUUUUGUAGGCUUUCUUAAAGUCUGCUCCUCUUAAAAGCAUUAGCGAAAAUCUUUGUGAGCAAAUUUUCCUGGUGUGAUAAUUAUCUACGCCAUGGCUUGAUCACAUUAAAGAACUUUUUUUGCUUCUAAUCGUCGUCAUUUGACGACAACUAUUGAACA
rnacentral:misc_RNA from 1 species